rnacentral:piRNA from 1 species
UAGAUAAGCAAGCUGGGAGCUUGCACAAGU